AGCGAACGCUGGCGGCAGGCCUAACACAUGCAAGUCGAACGAACCUUUCGGGGUUAGUGGCGGACGGGUGAGUAACACGUGGGAACGUGCCUUUAGGUUCGGAAUAACUCAGGGAAACUUGUGCUAAUACCGAAUGUGCCCUUCGGGGGAAAGAUCUAUCGCCUUUAGAGCGGCCCGCGUCUGAUUAGCUAGUUGGUUGAGGUAAUGGCUCACCAAGGCGACGAUCAGUAGCUGGUCUGAGAGGAUGAUCAGCCACAUUGGGACUGAGACACGGCCCAAACUCCUACGGGAGGCAGCAGUGGGGAAUCUUGCGCAAUGGGCGAAAGCCUGACGCAGCCAUGCCGCGUGAAUGAUGAAGGGCUUAGGAUUGGAAAAUUCUUUCACCGGGGACGAUAAUGACGGUACCCGGAGAAGAAGCCCCGGCUAACUUCGUG
rnacentral:rRNA from 1 species